AGAGAGAGAGAGCUUUGUCAAUUCAUAUGAAUUAAUAAUUUUGUAAAAUAUGUAUAAAUAUAUUUUCUGUUCAAUUGAAUCUCCAUUUAUUUUGUGUCAUAUAUCAUCCCACAUCAUCAACACACUUAGAUAAUCACACUGUUCAACAAUAAAUUACUAAAAGAUUUGUACAUUCAUCACAGUCAACCACUCCUUGAGUACAUAAUUACCGUACAAAAACACCUUAAAACGAUGUGUUGCGAUCAUCAAAAUAGUCUGAAUACACAAUAUUAAUAAAUUAAUUAUACAGAUGUGUAUUUUCAUAAAAGUCAAGGACUAAAUCUACUGGUAAAAGUAGCAAAAUGAUGAGUAGUUUGUCUUAAGGACAGACCCUGUUUGUCCCUGUUACAGGUCCUGUUGUCUCUGUUACAGGUCCUGUUUGUCUCUGUUACAGGUCCUGUUUGUCUCUGUUACAGGUCCUGUUUGUCUCUGUUACAGGUCCUGUUUGUCUUAAGGACAGAUCCUGUUUGUCUCUGUUACAGGUCCUGUUUGUCUCUGUUACAGGUCCUGUUUGUCUUAAGGACAGGUCCUGUUUGUCUCUGUUACAGGUCCUGUUGUCUCUGUUACAGGUCCUGUUUGUCUCUGUUACAGGUCCUGUUUGUCUCUGUUACAGGUCCUGUUUGUCUUAAAGACAGGUCCUGUUUGUCCCUGUUACAGGUCCUGUUUGUCCCUGUUACAGGUCCUGUUUGUCCCUGUUACAUGUCCUGUUUGUCCCUGUUACAGGUCCUGUUUGUCUCUGUUACAGGUCCUGUUUGUCUCUGUUACAGGUCCUGUUUGUCUUAAGGACAGAUCCUGUUUGUCCCUGUUACAGUUCCCAUUUGUCCCUGUUACAUUCACAACCUGGAACCCAUUUCCAUCAUGACCACCUACCUAAUCAUCCCCCUCAUUCCUAAUCGGCAGCCAUUUUGUGCCAGAACACUCACCACACAUCAAUCAGCUAGCAUGGUGGAGAGGUGAAAUUAUGUGAUGAGCGUUCUGGCACAAAAUGGCUGCCGUGCACCACCCACACAUUGGUGGUGGAUGAGGUGAGUUUCACCCUUUACUAUGUAAAACGCUUUGAAUCCCUCAGUUGGUAGCGAGAGGGCGCGAUAUAAAUCCAACCCAUUAUUAUUAUUAUUAGUACGUUGUGCAUAUGCGACCAUUUUUACGAGCUGCUUUUUACGAGUCCAGUCGUAGCUCCGGACUGAUAUCUAGGAGUAUGACAUAACACUGUUUAACAUCUCAUAAGCAUGACAUAGGGCAUGACAUAGGACAUGACAUAGGACAUGACAUAGGACAUGACAUAGGACUAUUGUUGCAAAAUUGCGGUAAUUUCCCCCAAAU